GCGGGACCCGGCUGGGUGGACAGGAACCUGCCCGCUGGAAGGUCCCCGGGGCUCUGACCACCCUGCUCCACGCAUCCCCCAGGGCCCCUGCCAGGCUACGGGUCCGCGUGCUCAGAGCCGGCAGGAUUCUAGAGGCUUCUGCCAUGACCCAGGCCUCUGCUCAUCCUGCUACAAUCCCGGAAGUAAAGAGGACAGCAGGACCUGUGCCCUGUGGACAGGACGGACCCAGGGCGCACAGCGACUCUGCAGAAGGCACCAACGUCCCCCAUGAGGCCGCCAGAGCCCCGAGGCUGCCUCCACGGCUGCACCGGAGCCCACAGUGCAUGGGAUCCAGAGGCCGGAGCACAGACCCUCAGCUGGUCUCCUGCUGACCCCCAGGAAAGCUCUCUCCCAGACUCCGCUCCUGCCUCUCUCUGCCAACCACGCAUCGUCCAGCACCAGCCGGGCACUGCUGGCCACCGGGGACAGGAUCAGCGCCUACCCUGAUGUGUCACUUGCCCGGCUCGUCCCUUACAAGUCACGGGUGGGUGGCUGUGGUCUCGGCCACCCAUCCCCCCUGGUGCCAUCCCCGUCCCUCUCACCCCACAGGGCCUCUCAGAGGAGGCGCCAGAGGCCACCGCCCACAUCGGCUGAGACUCUGCACUGAGCUCGGUACAAACCUGAGGUCCUCGUCUUCCCUACAAGCGGCCCCCAACCUGGAGGGGUCCUGGAGGGGUCCUGGAGGGGCCCGGAUUGCCCCGGCGAGCCUGCCAGAUGCUCUCACCGCCGCCCGCGGGUGCACAGGAAACAAACUCCUGGGUUUUGAGAGCGGUCUGUUUUCCUUGGAAACCCAUUUCCUGGACUCCUGGAAAGCCCUGAGGGAAACUGCACAGCCGAGUGGCACGGGCCGAAGACCUCUUCCUUCUCAGCCCGUGAAAACAUCUGGUUCGAAGCCUGCUCUCCGCAGACCAACACUGGACCCGUCCGUUGUAACGCAAGGCCCCGUGCCACUGGGGCCUCCCGGAACCUCAAGGCGGGUGGCCCUGUAGCACAGAUGCCGCCUAGAAGCUGCCAUUGGCCAGUGUCCCCGUGAAGUCGGAGGAGCGCCUAUCCACGGCUGUGCCACUGCUGCCCGGCACUCCGCCAGCUCAGCCCUCCCUGUCGGGGCUUCCCACGGCACAGCAGGCUUUCUGACCUCCAGGCAUGUGG
rnacentral:lncRNA from 1 species